UCUGCAGCUCUGGAACUACUACAGUUGUUGCUGGAGCGUUUCGACCCUGAGGACACAGUCUCGUCUCUGCUGUCGCUGCUGAACAGAGCUGAGGUUUUCUACUCUCAGGACUGGUGCCCCGUUCUCUCUGAGGCGGUGCGUUUACUGUCCGUACCCGCCCCGGUGCAGCCCACCGUACCCGCCCCAGGGCAGCCUGUUGCAGACUCAGACCGGUUGUUCUUCAAGCUCCUUCCCCUCACGGUGCCUUCAGGGGCUGCGGACUCGGUUCAGUUUAAACUGGCUCUGAGUCUGUCCCAGUGUGCAGUGAUCCAACAGCACCCACUCACGGCAGGAUGGAGAUCAGACCUGGAGGAGGCGCUGCGGUCCGGUCCAGACCAGG